UGCAAUCGCUACUGUAAGUCGCUCUGGAUAAGAGUGUCUGCUAAAUGACUAAAA
rfam:Salmo salar isolate Sally breed double haploid chromosome ssa23, whole genome shotgun sequence.